rnacentral:rRNA from 1 species
CAGCAGCCACGGUAACACAGAGGGUGCGAGCGUUAAUCGGAUUUACUGGGCGUAAAGCGUGCGUAGGCGGCUUUUUAAGUCGGAUGUGAAAUCCCUGAGCUUAACUUAGGAAUUGCAUUCGAUACUGGGAAGCUAGAGUAUGGGAGAGGAUGGUAGAAUUCCAGGUGUAGCGGUGAAAUGCGUAGAGAUCUGGAGGAAUACCGAUGGCGAAGGCAGCCAUCUGGCCUAAUACUGACGCUGAGGUACGAAAGCAUGGGGAGCAAACAGGAUUAGAUACCCGCGUAGUCCCUGUCUCUUAUAC